GUAUGAAGUAAGCUUCAAGAGCUUCACUAUACAUUCACUAUACAUACAUGAAUAUGUGAGGACAGAAAUAACAAUAUGAACAAAAUAACAUAAAUAAAUGUGGAGAAAAGACCGUCAUGGAUAAUUCAUGUGAUGGAGUGAGUGGUGGAACUCAUAUCCGGACUUGUUGCGAUUGUGAAGUUUAUUUCCUUUCACGCACAGGGAUGUUUUAAUAAUGGGCUCUGCGAGAGCCUCGUUGCCUGGCAACCGCCUGCUGUCAACAUGCAGGCUGUGUUACCGUGGGAACAGGAUGACUGGUGGGAAGAGUGGGACACAAAGCUGCGUUCCAGCAAACAGUGAUCAGCUGACAUCUGGGGUCAACAUCAUGAGAUCCAACAGAUGUGGCAUGCGUUUUCAGCAGCAUAUGUCAAUGUGCGUAUGGCCGCUGCUGUUUAUAAAGAGUUCUGUGUGCAUGUCUUCAUACUCUGCCAGCCGUCACCUUGUGAAGAAAAAGCUACGUCCCUGUGGACCAGAAUACUGCAUUAUUGAACAAGCAAUGGUGGGAGAAAUAGAACUUUGAAUGGAAGAUUUACUGAAAACGGAGCAAACAAUGAGUUACCCUGAAAGAUCUGUGUAAUUAAUGGUGCUGUACCAAUGACUCAGAGAGAGAUGAACAUUCGACUGUAGAGUAUCAUUGUGUGAAUCAUCUCUCAUAAACACAUCUGAUAAAUGUUAUUUGUUAAGCUCAUCAAAUGUGAUUCAGCAUCUGGUGUGAGAACAAUUCUUCUUUCUAAGAUAAUAGGCAGAUAUGAAGAACUACGAUCAGCAGACAGGAACUUUUCAUUCCUCCUCAUAAAUCUUUGUUCCUAACUCAC
ensembl:lncRNA